CUUGCUAAAACUUCUUUAUAGUUGCUUAUUAAUUGUUUUUUCCCCGAGUAUCAAAGCUUCUGCAUUUACUGUUGAGUGUAACGGUACCAGCAGAAACUGUCUGUUAUGUGUAUAAGAUGAGAUAUAACGAAUAAAACAAAAGCAAGUACCACAAAGCAUUCAUGACGCAGCCUUUCAACACAGGCGAGUGAGAGAGGGGGCCAGCCAAUCAGCGGCCUCCUUACAAAUGAGGCUCGGCUUCACGGCUCAGACUUAAGGUGAACAGACUAUAGCAGGGCACUAGCCCUCAGCCCUGUCAACGUUAAGAGAUGGCUGAAUGAAGUAGAAUGGAACAAAGACAGAUUUCAAGACAGAGCAGACAGCUUUGCGGCAGUGACUUAACCAACCCACAUCAUGCAGGCCGUGGCGUGUGUCUGAUAGGAAGCGCCACACUUCAUUUUGCUUCUUAUGCAUGGAGCGGAUGGGCUUCUCAGGAAUGUAAUCUCUUGGGGGAGGAUACUGACUGAAGAGUACAGGCUGUAGAAAAGGGUAGGUCUAAUGCACAUGAAAUAAAAUUAAUAAAUAAAGAGAGAGGUAAAUCAACGAUAUAAACUUCAUUUACCUUCCAUUUUCAAAUCUGGGUACUUGACUAAUCUGCCCAUACAUGGGGAUUGAAUCACAAUUGUAAUGACAUUAUUCAUUACUACCAUUAUCAUAAGAAAAUACAAGUGAUUUGAUCUCUUUACAAGACUGUGAGCCACUGCUUCUCACCUCAGGAUAUAUUUUUUACAACAAAAGUUAUCUUAUAAUGAUUCUGUAUAUAGCUCAUAACUGGUUUCUUGACGACAUGGAAAUUCCUGAGUAAAAUAAUGCAUCCAC